AAUCAACAUUUUUACAUAGGGUUGUUUGCAACAUCAAGUGAAAAUCUGUCGUGUGACAGGGAAAGCUAGUCGAUUGGUCACCACAUAGCCACUGCUGUGCAAUGCCUCAUACACCAUGCAGACUGUAGUUCCCCUGAGCAGGCCACUCCAGAGACCCUCAAGACAUGCAAAAUGUGGAUAAUAAUAGUUCCUACCUCAUAUGGUUGUGUGAAGGUUAAAUGAGUUAGUGCAUGUGAAGCACUUACAACAGAUCCUGGCACGUAGUAAUUGCCAUGAAGUUUAGCCCUGAGCUAACAUCUGCUGCCAAUCCUCCUCUUUUCUGCUGAGGAAGACUGGCCCUGAGCUAAUAUCCGUGCCCAUCUUCCU
rnacentral:lncRNA from 1 species